rnacentral:rRNA from 1 species
CACCGGCGGCUCGAGUGGUGGCCACUUUUAUUGGGUCUAAAGCGUCCGUAGCCGGCUUGGCAAGUCCCCUGGGAAAUCUGGCGGCUUAACCGUCAGGCGUCCAGAGGAUACUGCCAGGCUUGGGACCGGGAGAGGUGAGAGGUACCUCAGGGGUAGGGGUGAAAUCUUGUGAUCUCUGAGGGACCACCAGUGGCGAAGGCGUCUCACUAGAACGGGUCCGACGGUCAGGGACGAAAGCUGGGGGCACGAACCGG